rnacentral:rRNA from 1 species
UAAUACGAAGGGGGCUAGCGUUGCUCGGAAUUACUGGGCGUAAAGGGCGCGUAGGCGGCCAGAUUAGUCAGGCGUGAAAGCCCUGGGCUCAACCUGGGGACUGCGCUUGAGACGGUUUGGCUUGAGGACGGAAGAGGCUCGCGGAAUUCCCAGUGUAGAGGUGAAAUUCGUAGAUAUUGGGAAGAACACCGGUGGCGAAGGCGGCGAGCUGGUCCGUACCUGACGCUGAGGCGCGACAGCGUGGGGAGCAAACAGGAUUAGAUACCCUGGUAGUCCACGCCGUAAACGAUGUGCGCUGGAUGUUGGGUGGCCUAGCCACUCAGUGUCGUAGCCAACGCGGUAAGCGCACCGCCUGGGGAGUACGGCCGCAAGGUUG